AUUGAACGCUGGCGGCAGGCCUAACACAUGCAAGUCGAGCGUGCGGCGCACGGGUGAGUAAUCCCUGGGAAUUGCCCAGUCGAGGGGGAUCACCGUUGGAAACGACUUCUAAUACCGCAUAAGAUUGGAUUCCCCAGGGGGGAUUAGCUAGUUGGUGAGGUAAUGGCUCACCAAGGCGACGAUCCCUAGCUGGUCUGAGAGGAUGAUCAGCCACACUGGAACUGAGACACGGUCCAGACUCCUACGGGAGGCAGCAGUGGGGAAUAUUGCACAAUGGGGGAAAGCCUGAUGCAGCCAGGCCGCGUGUGUGAAGAAGGCCUUCGGGUUGUAAAGCACUUUCAGCGAGGAGGCGUUACUCGCAGAAGAAGCACCGGCUAACUCCGUGCCAGCAGCCGCGGUAAUUC
rnacentral:rRNA from 1 species